AGCGAACGCUGGCGGCAGGCUUAACACAUGCAAGUCGAACGCAUCACUUCGGUGGUGAGUGGCAGACGGGUGAGUAACACGUGGGAACGUACCCUUCGAUCUGGGAAACUUCGGGAAACUGGAGCUAAUACCGGAUACGCCCUUUUGGGGAAAGGUUUACUGUCGAAGGAUCGGCCCGCGUCUGAUUAGCUAGUUGGUGGGGUAACGGCCUACCAAGGCGACGAUCAGUAGCUGGUCUGAGAGGAUGAUCAGCCACACUGGGACUGAGACACGGCCCAGACUCCUACGGGAGGCAGCAGUGGGGAAUAUUGGACAAUGGGCGCAAGCCUGAUCCAGCCAUGCCGCGUGAGUGAUGAAGGCCUUAGGGUUGUAAAGCUCUUUUGUCCGGGACGAUAAUGACGGUACCGGAAGAAUAAGCCCCGGCUAACUUCGUG
rnacentral:rRNA from 1 species